GUAACCGGCUGUCUGCAACGGUAGCUCGAUCCUUACGUCCUGUUGAAUAAGGUCACCAGCGAGUCCUGUGCGGUCACGUCAACAGGACACAUUCUAAGAUUUCGUUCAGAACUAACCUGAUUAAAACCGAGAAUGUCAUUGAUUCAGUUCUCUACACUUCAAUCCACCGUGGGUGCUCUGCU